AGUUUCUGGUAACUAUCGAUUUGGUGGAAACGAGAGACAUAUCAAUCCAACUUGCGAACAACACAAUUCGAAACCCUGCAAUUCUUUUUAUUUUUUUGAUAUUUUUGUUUUACUAAGGAGCACUCAAGAAGUAACCACAAGAAAUUUGAGCUUAAACAAGUGAAAGACGUGGCCUGUGGAAUUUUUUUAAGAUUGUGAAAAAUAUGAAAAAAAAUAUUAGGAGGUGAAAACUCAAACUUC
rnacentral:lncRNA from 1 species